rnacentral:rRNA from 1 species
GACGAACGCUGGCGGCGUGCCUAAUACAUGCAAGUAGAACGCUGAAGGAGGAGCUUGCUUCUCUGGAUGAGUUGCGAACGGGUGAGUAACGCGUAGGUAACCUGCCUGGUAGCGGGGGAUAACUAUUGGAAACGAUAGCUAAUACCGCAUAAUAGCAGUUGUUGCAUGACAACUGUUUGAAAGGUGCAAAUGCAUCACUACCAGAUGGACCUGCGUUGUAUUAGCUAGUUGGUGGGGUAACGGCUCACCAAGGCGACGAUACAUAGCCGACCUGAGAGGGUGAUCGGCCACACUGGGACUGAGACACGGCCCAGACUCCUACGGGAGGCAGCAGUAGGGAAUCUUCGGCAAUGGACGGAAGUCUGACCGAGCAACGCCGCGUGAGUGAAGAAGGUUUUCGGAUCGUAAAGCUCUGUUGUAAGAGAAGAACGAGUGUGAGAGUGGAAAGUUCACAC